UGAGCAAGGGAGGUCAUUCGCAAUUCUGUCACUCCUAAAUUUGUCUGAACCUUUUUGGAAGGCAUUUGUAUUUCCUGCCAGCACCACCUCUUGGGGGUGAUGAAUUCCAAUAAGUUUCAAUCCGUUUAUUACUCACUGUGAGAGAAAUUGCUUCCUUUUAUGUCUGGAACUAAACCUGGAUCACAUUUCACAGGAUAUCCCCUAGUCACAGAGUUUUGGAAUCUGACCUGGAGGCAAAGGUAUGGAUGAGAUCACAUAGCAAGGAGAUUGCUGCUGAGAAGGAGUCAAAGCCUGGGUUUUACUUGUGGCCUUGCUGCUACACCAACUUUACUGACAUGCCAUUCUGGGAUAGUCUUUUCUCUCUGAGGCUUCAAGAGAAGAUGAGAAUACAUUCCAUCCCUACCUCUUGGAGUCAUUGUGAGGACUCAGAUGAAGUGCAGCAUCACGCAACAGAACUCAGAUGCCCUCACUGCAUCUCAAAUGCACUCAGGCUGCCAUGCUGUGAGCUGCCCUAUGGAGAAGUCCACAUGGCAAGGAACUGAGGGAUACCUUCAGCCAACAGCCAAUGAGGAACUGAUGCUCCCAGAGAACAGCCUGUAGGAAACUAAUUCCUGCUAACAACCUUCAGAUGACUGCAGGUCUGGCUGGCAACUCAACUGAAGCCUGAGAGAGAUCCUGAAGCAGCGGGUGCAGCUAAGCCUCUGCUGGAUUCCCAUUAGACAGAAACUGCUACACCCUGCAAGGUCAUUAUCAUUAGCUGCACUUUACAGGAGAGGAAGCUGAGGCUCAGAGAAGCAAACUGCCCUCCUACUUAUGUUGAAGACUUUCCCAUCCUAUGAGCCCAGGUGGGAGAAGCUGAAAAUGGCAGAAGGUCACUUUUCCAGCUGCCCUGUGCCUGGUGAGCCUGUGACACAGACCCCGUUGCUCACAUAUCCACCCAGUUUGGUGCCAUAGGUGGUAGCACUUCAGGGCCAAGGAGUUUGAAGAAGUCCAAGGUAGAGCUUUCUGGAAAAUCCUCUGGAGAGGUUGAUCAGAAACCUUCUCCCACAUAAACAAAGGACCCAGGAAGAAGCUAAAAAUGGGCCAUGAGAUUGUCUUUAUUCAUCAAGCCUGAAGUUUUCUGACUCUAUCUUUCUUUUCCCGUGGCCACUGUUACCUCUCCAGAACAGACCCCAUCACCUGAAUUCUGCCUGAGCCUCGACAGAUAUGCUCAGCUGCUCUCCCAUGCUGGCUGUUGUUACCCCAACCCACUUAAAAUUCCUUGAGGUCUUAGAAGCUCUCUCCCACCAAGGUGCCGAAAGAAGUAUUUCACAGGUUCUCAGUGACAAUUGUUUAUUGAAAUUUACACUGAUGAGAAGUGGUCCCUAUUAAGGGAAUUCAAUCCAAGGAGAUUGGCUCUAUACUUUGAACCGCUGUGGCCAAAUAAAUAGAUGACUGCUUGCUGCAAUUAUAUUGCUGUGGUCUUUGUAUAAAUAGAUUACCAAGAAUAGGACUCCACACAUCUAUCACCUUGGAAAGCUGAUUUGUAUAAUCUGGACAGGUGGCAAGGAAACGUAACUGUCUGCUCAAGGGAGAGCCUGCCUGGGGCAGAGGAAGAGAGUCUGAGUAGCAUCCCAGUUAAGUGCUCAAGCCCUGAGGUCAGGCUGCCUGCAUUUGAAUCCUGAUUCUGCCACCAAUUUUCUAAGUGGCAUGGCAAUGUUCUUAAACUUCCCUUUGUGUCAUAGUAAGCAACCGAAAAAUGGUGCUGAGGAUAGAGAACUCCAAAAAUAGAAAUUAUUGCUAGAAGGUUCCCUUGCAGUGGAUAUCGGGGAUUCAAUCUGUUAGUAUCCAGAAACUAGUUUUUCUGUUACUUUUGUGAAACCACUCAAGAUCUCUGUUUAACAAGCCUCCCAAAGAUCUUUUUUCAAUAUGUUUAUAUGUCUUGGGGAUUACAGCACUUGUGGGUUUCAGCAGAACUCUUUUUGCAGAGGUCUGGUGGUGUAGGAAAAGGGCUGUAGACUAGGAUCUGGGAGACAGACAUGUCUAUGUUGAGACCUGCCUCUGGAGCACUGGCCACCCUCUCCAAGCUGCUGCAGUUCUCUGAGAUCCAACUGUCUCCCCUGUUACAUAAUCACCACAGUUAAAAUAUCAAAGUUUAUAUCAACCCCAAAAGUUACCUCCUGCUUCUUUGUAAUCUUUGCCUCCAUCCACCCUUAUUCCUAGGCAACCACUGAUCUGUUUUAUGUCAAUACAGAUCAUUUUGCAUUCUCUCUAAUUUCAUAUACAUUGCAUCAUACUUUAUGCACUCUUUUAUCUGGAUACUUUCACUUAACAUAAUUAUUUUCACAUGCAUUCAUGUUGUUGUGUGCAACAACAGUUUAUUAGUUUUCAUUGCUGAAUAGUAUUCCAUUGUGUGGAUAUACCACAUUUGUUUAGCCACUCAUCUGUGAAUAGACAUUCGGGUUGUUUCCAGUUACUUGGUUAUUUCAA
rnacentral:lncRNA from 1 species